GUGCUCGCCUCAGUAGCACAUGCACUAAAAUUGGAAUGACAUAGACCAGAUGAGCUUGGCCCUGAGCAAGGAUAACACAUGACUUCGUGAUGUGUUCCAUAUUAAA